AUAUCUCAAGACCUGUCUGCUUUUGAUAGGUUUCGGAUUUAUGGGGGUUGCAGGCUGUUUCAAAUAGCUUGCUCUCCUUGAAUGUAUUAUUAGUGGAGGGAAGAAAAAGUCAUUAAACUCCAUUGGUGUGAUAAAAUGGUAUCAAUGCCAGGAGCAAUGAACAACAGUUCUCUCAGCUAACUGUCUGUAGUAAAACAUGGACAACUUGACCA
rnacentral:misc_RNA from 1 species